AACGAACGCUGGCGGCAUGCCUAACACAUGCAAGUCGAACGAGACCUUCGGGUCUAGUGGCGCACGGGUGCGUAACGCGUGGGAACCUGCCCUUAGGUUCGGAAUAACUCCCCGAAAGGGGUGCUAAUACCGGAUAAUGUCUUCGGACCAAAGAUUUAUCGCCGUUGGAUGGGCCCGCGUUGGAUUCGCUAGUUGGUAGGGUAAAAGCCUACCAAGGCGACGAUCCAUAGCUGGUCUGAGAGGAUGAUCAGCCACACUGGGACUGAGACACGGCCCAGACUCCUACGGGAUGCAGCAGUGGGGAAUAUUGGACAACGGGCGAAAUCCUGAUCCAGCAAUGCCGCGUGAGUGAUGAAGGCCUGAGGGUUGUAAAGCUCUUUUACCCGGGAUGAUAAUGACAGUACCGGGAGAAUAAGCUCCGGCUAACUCCGUG
rnacentral:rRNA from 1 species